UUCCAGUCUCAUGUUGAAGAUUUUUAUGUAGAAGGCCUUCCCAAAGGAAUUUUUUUUUUUUUUUUGAGAUGGAGUUUUCACUCUUAUCGCCCAGGCUGGGGUGCAAUGGCGCAACCUUGCUGGUCACUGCAACCUCUGCCUCCUGGGUUCAAGAAAUUCUCCUGCCUUAGCCUCCCAAGUCGCUGGGAUUACAGGUGCCCACCACCACACCAGGCUAAUUUUUGUAUUUUUAGUGGAGAUGGGGUUUCACCAUGUUGGCGGGGCCAGUCUCGAACUCCUGACAUCAAGUGAUCUUCCCGCCUCGGCCUCCCAGAGUGCUGAGAUUACAGACGUGAACCCAUGUCUGGCCAGGAAUUUUGUUUUUUAGGAAGGCUUUCUACUAAUGGAAUUCCUGGCCUUGAGAGGAUGUUACUUUCGAAGAAAAGGAUUUUUUGUUAUUAAAAGAAACAGGACCUUGCCCUGUCACUCAGGAUGGAGUUCAGUGCUCCUAUCAUGGCUCAUUAUAGCCUCAAACUCCCAGGCUCAAGCAAUCCUACCAUGUCAGCCUUCCCGUAGCUGGGACUACAGGUCUCACACUGUCACCCAGGCUGGAGUACAGUGGCACAACCUCUGCUCACUGCAGCCUCCACCUGCCAGGC